CCUACGGGAGGCAGCAGUGGGGAAUAUUGCACAAUGGGGAAACCCUGAUGCAGCCAUGCCGCGUGUGUGAAGAAGGCCUUCGGGUUGUAAAGCACUUUAAGUUGGGAGGAAGGGUUGUAGAUUAAUACUCUGCAAUUUUGACGUUACCGACAGAAUAAGCACCGGCUAACUCUGUGCCAGCAGCCGCGGUAAU
rnacentral:rRNA from 1 species